rnacentral:misc_RNA from 1 species
CAGAGGGCAGGGUGCUGGCUAACGGCCAGUCGAGGCGACUCGCAGGAAAGUGCCACAGAAAACAGACCGCCCGUUCCCGCAAGGGGGCGGGUAAGGGUGAAACGGUGCGGUAAGAGCGCACCGCGUCCGGGGUGACUCGGACGGCACGGUAAACCCCACCUGGAGCAAGAGCCAAUAGGAGCGCGUCCCCGAAAGGGGACAGGGAUGGCCCGUCCCAUGCGUUCGGGUUGCUCGCUGAUGAGGUCCCUGGGCAACCAGGGCCCUAGAUGAAUGUUCGCCGCCCAUCCCGAAAGGGGUGGGG